rnacentral:ncRNA from 1 species
AGACUCUGGCAUGCUAACUAGUUAAGCGACUCCCCCAACUUCUUAGAGGUACCACCCGAUUGAGAAAUAACAGGUCUGUGAUGGCCUUAGAUGUCUGGGGUGAAUACACACUACACUGACUGGCUCAGCGUGUGCCUACGUUAUGCUGGCAGGCCUGGGUAAAACAUUGAUGAGGACCAGGGAUUGCAAUUAUUCCCCAUGAACAAGGAAUUCCUAGUAAGUACGGGGUCACAAGAUUGUGUUGAUUAAAUCCCUGCCCUGUGUACACACAGCCCACCCUACAAUUGGAU